CAGGAGGGGCACAAGGUGGCGCUCAACGUGUACGACCUCAGCAACGGCCUGGCGCGCCAGCUCUCCACCUCCUUCCUCGGCAAGCCCAUCGAGGCCAUCUGGCACACGGGCGUGGUGGUGUACGGCAACGAGUACUUCUUCGGGGGCGGGAUCCAGGCGGCGCCGGCGGGGGCGACGCAGUACGGCCGCCCCGCGCGGGUCGUCGACCUGGGCGUCACCCACCUGCCCCGCGAGGUCUUCGAGGACUACCUCCGCGACAUCGCGCCGCGCUACACCGCCGCCACCUACAGCCUGCUCACCCACAACUGCAACAACUUCAGCAACGAGGUCGCGCAGUUCCUCGUCGGCGCCGGGAUCCCCGACUACAUCCUCAACCUGCCCAGCGAGGUCAUGUCCAGCCCCAUGGGCGCCAUGAUCAUGCCCAUGAUCCAGAACCUCGAGGCCACGCUCAGGAACAACGCCGCGCCCCAGACCACCCAGUUCGUGCCCACGCCGGCCUCCGUCUCGGUGCCGCAGCCGCCGGCUUCGGCCGGCAAAACCCCUACUGCCAAUGCUAGUUCUACAGCCGCCGCUGCCGCUGCUAGUGCGGCGCCCGCUGGCUCUUCUUCCGAGAAAGAAGAAGAGAAGAAGGUCGAGAAGCAGACUCCGGAGAAAGCCGCCGCGCCGGCACCGCCGACUGUGGCUGACCCUCUCGGCAGCGCGAGGGGGAAGGUGCAGGAGGAGGUGAUGAGGGAGUUUGCGGCGCUCAUGGCGAGUGGCACGCUGCGGGCGAGCGAGGCGGCGGCGCUGGCCAUGCGCCGGGUCAUGGAGCGCCACGGCGACGGCGCCAGUAUGCAGGCCUAG
rnacentral:rRNA from 1 species